ACCCUCCUCGCCGGCCGCGCCCAUGGCGACCCCGUCGUACGCGGCCGUGAAGUGCCUGAACACGUCCUCUUCCAGCCGCAAGCGCUUCGUGUUCAAGAGCUUCACAAAGCGGGUGGAGGAAUUAGACAUCAAUGUUUACCGUAGCAUCGAUGAGGUCAAGGCGGAGCCCUCGAGCGGUUCCUCGUUUUUCCUCGAUGCUCUGGUGGAGUGGAGGGAGCUGAAUACUGCAGAAGACUUCAUCUCGUUUUACGAUGAGAUGAUACCAUUGGUGCAGACAUUGCCACAAAUCGUAUUGCACCGUGAGAAAAUAUUUUCUGGGCUGCUACAACGAGUAAAUAUGGCGGCACGAUUGUCCCUCGAGCCAAUAUUCAUGUUAAUUGCAGAAUUCGCCAGGGAUAUUCUAGAGGAAUUUUUGCCGUUUCUAGCAAGACACGCUAGUGCUAUUUUGGCUCUCCUUAGUGAUGGGGGUGAUCGUGACCCUGAAAUCCUGGAGCAGGUCUUCACAUCUUGGUCACGCAUAAUGAUGUACUUGCAGAAGUAUCUAGUAAAAGAUGUUGUUCAGAUUCUCAGGAUCACAUCUCCGCUGAGAUUUUUCCCAAAGGAUUAUGUGAGAGAAUUUAUGGCUGAAUCUGUUUCAUUUUUGCUGAGGAAUGCACGUAACGAUCAACUAACAGAAGGUUUAAGGAAAGCUCUGUUUGAGGCUGCUAAAAAAUCGUCACCUAUACGGAUAGACGGGGUGACUGCGUUGUUGUGGCACGUAAUGAGAGGAACUUACACAAAGCUUCACUCAAGAGCUGGAAAUGUCAUGGAGUUCUUGUUGAGCAAGUCAAUAUGUACCACUAUCGACAAUAAAUUCCCAGAUGGGUCUUCUACUACUCGUGAGGUCAUAACUGGUGUUAUCCAUAGAUUAUGCAACGAAGUGGAUCAGAAAGAGUUGGCGUUGAUAUAUACUUGCUUGUUUAAAGAAAUCAAAAGCUGCAUUAAGGAUGACUGUUUGGGGCACUUGAAACACAUGAUUGAUUUUCUUACAUUUGCUCUAGAAAACAGCAAGCAGAGUGAUAUGCUUGACAAGGCUGAUGUUCUUGAACUUGUUAAGUUGCUGAUUCAUAAGUAUGUUAGGCCUGGUAUCAGGACAGGAGAAGCUUCUUCAUCUGAGUUUCUUGGGAGUAUCUUGGACUUUCUUCUUUGUGUUUUGGAUGUUCCAGUUAUUUCUUGCAAUUUAUCCAUCAUAUACGCCCCUGUAUUUGAACUAACCAAUUUGAGUGCGGUUGCCUUUAUGAAAAAGCUUUGCAUGAAAGGGCCACAAAUUAUAAAAGCUUUUGAGAGUCAGAUACUGAGUGCAAUGGAUAAUAUUCUUGAGACUUCACCCGAGGAAGUUCUCUUUAUCCUUCUGCAUUUAUUUAAGAAAGCAACAGAUGGAGUAACUCAUGACAUUGAUGGUAGUCAUCUUGAUCGGGAGAAGAAAGUGUACAAGUUCUGUGAUUCAAAUGUCCGUUUAUGGAUAGAGUUUGUAGAUGAUAUAGUCAAGACAGGCAAUCAUUCGAGUAAUCUGGUCAGUGCAAAGGAAGCUGCUAUACUAUGGGGAUCUGUUCGCUGCUACUCAAAUGUUAAAGACGCCCCUCAAGAUAGUUUAGCAAUGCUGAAUAAGUUUAUUCGCAGCCUUGAUCUGUUACUUGAGGUGGAAGAAGAUAGCAUUAGUGGUCUUCCGAAGAAUACCUGGAGAAGUCUACUCGGUGCAGCAUUAUUAUCGUACCAUGAACUACUGCUGGUUAACGUCGGUAAAAAAUCAGAAUUAAGUUUCUUCCUAUCUCUUGCCAAGAGGCACAGCACAUGUCCGCAAGUACUCUCUGCUGUAGCUGAAUAUUUGGAUUCCCUACAUGGAGCAACUUCCCUGGGGAUGAUGGAAGAAUUCGAUCCACAGAAUCUCUUGAAUUCAUUCUGUAUCUUUGGUGCUAGCUUGAGCAGUCCAAAUAAGAAUGUCCGGGUUUUGACAUUGAGGAUUUUAUCUUAUUAUGCAAAGAUGGAUCAACGCCUAGGCUCAGAUGAUGAGCGGCCACAUAAGAGGCGGAAAGCAGAAGAUUCUGCAGAGGAAACUCUUGAACUUAAAUACACUAAUGUUGUCGAUACUCUUCUCGUUGUUGAAUCAACUCCAGUUUCAGUAUCUACUAGCCGCAAAAUUGCUAUCUUUGUUUCUCGGAUACAAAUGAGUCUAUCUUCUAAUACGGUUCAUGAUGAUUACAUACCUCUUCUCUUGCAUGGGAUUAUUGGCAUCUUAUACAAUCGAUUUAGUGAUCUGUGGCCACCAGCACUGGAUUGUCUUGCUGUCCUUGUUAGCAAACACAAGGAUCUUGUCUGGAGUCAGUUUAUUCAGUUUAUUGCAGUUUAUCAGUCAAAGGGUCUAACCGUGAGAAACCAAGAGAAGCUGCUAGCUGUGUCCCACCCAGAAUCUAUUAUUGACUGCUUCAGCUUAUAUCUUGCUACGGAUUUUGAUUAUACACCCCUUGAGACGAUUGCUACACUAUUGCUUCAAGCCCUCCAAAAGAUACCUGAUGUUGCUGAGUCUUGCUCUCGACAUGUUGUAACAUUAUUUCUAAACUUCAUGGGCUAUACCGAUGGCAGCAUCACUAGUGUUGAUUCAUAUAUGUCUGACAAGUGUAAAGGCAAACAAUGGAAAAUGAUUCUAAAAGAAUGGCUGAACUUGUUGCGAGCAAUGCGCAAUGCUCGAUCACUGUCCCAGAGCAAGAUUAUUCAGGAAAUAUUAACUGAAAGGGUCCUUGAUGAGAGUGAUCCUGAUAUACAAGCAAAAGCAUUGGAUUGCAUUCUGAACUGCAAGGAUGAAUUCCUAAUCCCAUACAGUCAAAACCUUAAGAAUCUGAUCGGCUUGAAAACUCUCCGUGAAGAACUCACCACGUGGGCAGUUUCACAUGACUCUUUGUCUAUCCAGAAAUGUCACAGAAGUCAUGUUGUUCCUUUGGUUAUUCAUGUGUUAACACCUAAAGUAAGAAAACUGAAGCUGCUUGGUUCUCGAAAGCACACGGGGGUUAGCCAUCGAAAGGCCAUUCUCCGUUUCCUUCUGCAGUUUGAUGCAAAGGAGCUUCAGCUCUUUUUCUCGUUACUACUAAAGUCCUUGAUCCCUGGGAGCCUUCAACUUGAAAUGUUCUCUUGUCAGUCUGGCGACCUACUUGAAAGUAUUUCUGAUGCCGUGGGAACUUCGUCCAUCAUCUGUCUAGAGAGUCUUACAUGGAAAAGGGCAAAUGGUUUUCUUCAUUUAGUUGAAGAGAUUUUUGGUACUUUCGGCAUGACACAUAUAGGUCCAUAUCUUAAUGCUCUAUUGAUCAUUGUUGUUCGGUUGCUGGAGAGUUGCAUGCGGAAUCUUGGAAACAGCAGCGAUGAGAAAGAUCCUUGUAAACAAUCAAAUCACCCUGAUAAUGGUUGUUCCAAUGACCAGGAAGCUGACAAUUCCAUAGAUCUGAAUGAAUGCCCAAACGAGAUGACAGUAGCCGACGAUACUGAGGCAAGUGCCUCAGUCAAGCAGUUAAAGGAUCUUAGGUCCUUAUGUAUUCGAAUCGUUUCCUUGGCACUUGGUCGGUAUGAAAGUCAUGACUUUGGAGAAUACUUCUGGAGUACUUUUUUUGCUUCUGUGAAACCUCUGAUUGACUGCUUCAGACAAGAGGCUGGCAGUAGUGAGAAACCGAGCUCUUUAUUUUCUUGCUUCAUGGUUAUGAGUCAGAGCCCAAAAUUAGCACCACUAUUAGGGACUAAUAACCUUGUACCGGCUAUAUUUUCUAUUUUGACUGUGAGGACUGCAUCAGAAUCUAUCACCUCCUAUGCACUUGAGUUUGUUGAGAAUCUAUUGAGGCUGGAUAAUGAUUUGGAGCAGCAAGAAGAUCACUCGGUGAAGAAAAUUCUUGCUCAACAUAUGGAUGUUCUUCUCAACAGUCUCCAUGAUUUUGUUAAUUAUCGCAAAGAACUUCACAGGAGAUCUGGGAGAUGGCUUGGGCAACGUGAACUUAGGUUGUUUAAACUAUUGCUAAAUUACAUCACAGAUCCUUCAGCUGCAGAGCAUGUUGUAGAUCUUGUCCUUCCGUUUUUUAGUAAGAAGGAUUUGAACUCUGAUGAGUGUCUGGAAGCUCUACAUGUUGUAAGGGGAAUAAUACAAAAUCUACGACACGGUGUGUGUGUAAAAAUUGUAAAUGCACUCAAUCCAUUGCUUGCGACUGUUGGACUCGAGCAGCGGCUAUGUAUCUGUGAUAUUUAUGAUGGGCUUUCAUUGCAUGAGUCUUCAAUGCCCUCUCUGGCUCGGUUACUGCGAGAUCUGAAUGCGGUUUCAACCUCAGAACUAGGUGAACUAGAUUAUGACAUGAGAAUCAGAGCAUAUGAUACGGUUCAGCCGCAGUUAUUUCACGGCAUGCAAGAAGAACAUAUAGGUGCCAUAUUAUCUCACUGCGUGUAUGAUAUGUCAUCCGACGAGCUAAUUUUCCGGCAAAGUGCAUCCAGGGCUCUUCAAUCAUUCCUGGGAUUCUCUGCAUCAGUUAUGAACAGUGACCCCGGUGGCUCUGUUGAAACAGCCACUGUUAAACCUGGAGACAAUUCCAGAAACAUUUGCACGAAAGGCCGUAUUCAACAAAUAUUAGAGAGAACUUACCUUCAUAAUAUGGGAACAGCGAUGUCUAAAGACAUAUCAGUUCAAAAGGAGUGGAUCAUUUUACUUCGGGAGAUGGUCUAUAAUUUUGAUCAUGUACCAUCCUUAAACUCCUUCAGGCCUCUCUGUAAAGACGAUCUGGAUGAAGAUUUUUUCCACAACAUAAUUCAUUUACAGGCUGGUAAAAGAUCCAAAGCGUUAUCUCUUUUCAGGCAGGCAAUCAAAGAUACCAACUUUUCAGAGGACGUGACUAUGAAAGUCUUUGUUCCACUGUUUUUCAAUAUGUUUUUUGAUGUCAAAGCUGGGAAGGGUGAACAUGUAAGAGAUGUAUGUUUGGAUACACUUUCUUCUGUUGCUGCCAAAGUGCAGUGGGAGCAUUACAGAACAAUAUUGAUGAGAUGCUUCCGCGAGUUGAGUCUCAAGCCUGAUAAGCAGAAAGUCAUUUUGAGGCUAAUAUGUGCUGUGUUAGAUGUGUUCCAUUUCAUGAAACCCGCAACUGAUAUCUCGAGUAAUUCUGAUGGUAUGAUUGGAGAUUCUCAUUCUUCCGUUACAUUCUCCUCAACCAUAGUCUCUUUGGAGAAGCAACAAUACCUGCGAAAGGUAGUAUUUCCACAGGUCCAUAAGUUAUUAGGAGCCGAUCCAGAGAAAGUCAAUGUAAGCAUAAACCUGGUAGCACUCAAAAUACUCAAGUUACUACCGGUGGAUUAUUUUGAGUCACAACUUUCAAGCAUCAUACAUCGAAUCUGCAACUUUCUCAAGAAUUGUCUUGAAAGCGUACGUGAUGAAGCAAGGUCAGCUUUAGCUGCAUCGCUUAAGGAACUUGGGAUUGGUUACCUGCAGUUUGUGGUCAAGAUAUUGAGGGCGAUACUGAAAAGGGGUUACGAGCUACAUGUUCUGGGCUACACCCUUCAUUUUUUAUUAUCAAAAACUGUGACUGCUGAGAUGAAUGGUAGUCUUGACUAUUGCUUACAAGAUUUGUUGUCUGUAGUUGAGAGUGAUAUACUUGGAGAUAUUGCGGAACAAAAGGAAGUUGAGAAAAUUGCCUCCAAAAUGAAAGAGACAAAGAAGAGAAUGUCAUUUGAGACUCUUAAGUUGAUUGCUCAGAGUAUUACAUUCAGGACACAUUCUUCGAAAUUAAUCUUGCCAAUUUCUGCACAUCUUCAGAAGCACCUUACUCCAAAAUUAAGAACGAAACUUGAGGCGAUGUUACACAGUAUAGCCUUGGGGGUUGAGUGCAACCCAUCAACUGAAACCUCAAACUUAUUUAUAUUUGUUUAUGGCCUUGUUGAGGAUACCAUUGAAGGGAAUGAAUCUCAGCGCAAAAAGAAUAUGGAAUCUGGUCCUGGUCAAAAAAACAUUCUCAGAAUGAAUUUCCUAGAACUUGGCGAGAGUGGGUUACAAAAUUCCUAUAUAUUUACCAGGUUUGCACUUUCUUUGCUGCGCAAUCGGUUGAAGAGCAUCAAGCUGCACAAGGAAGAUGAGCAACUAUUGUCUAUGUUAGAUCCUUUUGUCAACCUUCUGGGAAAAUGCCUGAGUUCCAAGUAUGAAAGUGUCCUUUCUGUCACUUUUAGAUGUCUUGCCAUGUUGGUGAAACUUCCUUUGCCAUCUCUCAAGGACAAUGCAAAUUCUAUCAAGAGUGUACUAAUGGAGAUUGCUCAGAGAACUGGAAAUUCUAAUGGCCAUUUGGUCACAUCUUGUUUGAAACUACUUGCUCAUUUGCUUAGAGGAUUUAGGAUUUCACUUUCAGAUGAUCAACUCCAGAUGCUUGUCCGUUUCCCUAUUUUUGUUGAUCUCCAGACAAACCCAUCACCUGUUGCCUUGUCGCUUCUGAAAGCAAUUGUCAAAAGAAAAUUGGUUUCCCCUGAGAUUUAUGAUAUUGUAGUUGGGAUAGGAGAAUUGAUGGUUACAACUCAAACAGAGUCUAUACGUCAGCAAUGUAUGCAAAUUCUAUUACAGUUUUUUCUAAAUUACCCACUCUCAGGGAAGCGCUUACAACAGCAUAUUGAUUUUUUCCUGACAAACCUGAGUUAUGAGCAUGCAUCAGGAAGAGAAGCGGUGCUCCAAAUGCUCCAUGAUAUUCUUACCAGAUUCCCUCAGAGGAUUAUUGAUGACCAGGGUCAAACUUUUUUUCUUCAUCUGGUAGUUGCCUUGGCAAAUGAACAGCACCAGAAGGUGUCUUCUUUGAUUGUCACAGCAAUCAAGAAGCUGUUAGGGCGCAUUGGUGAUCAGGGAAAGAAUUCUAUUUUUGAGUACUCUCUUUCCUGGUACACUGGUGAAAAACAGAAUUUGUGGAGCGCUUCAGCCCAGGUUAUUAGUCUACUUGUUGGGAAUCGCUCAUUAGGAAUUGGUAAACAUCUUGAAAGUAUUUUGGCUGUUGCGAAGCGAAUAAUGGAAUCUUCUUGCACCGCUUCUGGAGGAGUACAACUAGACUUAACUGGGGAAACUGAUCUGCCAUUUUGGAAAGAGGCUUACUGUUCUAUUCUAAUGAUGGAUAACUUACUUGAACACUUUCCAGAGUUGUAUUUCAAACAAAAUACAGAGGCGAUAUGGAUGACAAUUUGCAAGCUGCUGAUACAUCCCCAUUUGAAGUUACGCAUUUAUUCUAGCGCUCUGGUAUCCAAGUAUUUUGCUUCAGUAGAGCAGAGGAAAAAAGAGAAGUUGGAUGUCACAUCAUCGUUCCUUCUCCAACCAAGCAGGCUAUUCCUAAUUGCUACUGCUUUCUUGAAACAGUUGAGGAUGGAGCCAAGUGAUACUGCAGAAAAUAAGAAAAUUGUACACAAUCUUGCAUACUCAAUCUGUAACUUGCAUGUGUUGGUUAAGCAAACAACUUCAUCGCAUCAGUUUUGGUCUAGCCUUGGUUCUUGUGAUCAUGGUGCCUUCCUCGAGGGUUUUGAAUUGCUUGGUUCAAGAAAAGCAAAGAACACAUUUCUCCUCUGCACUGCCUCUUGCACUGACGUAGAUGGAUCUGGCCUUGACAGCAGUGAAGAACUUGCAUCUUUCUUUGUUUCUUCUCUCCUGAAGAAAAUGGAAAAAAUUGCAAUGCAGAUGGAGGACGCACAUAUGAAGAUCGUGUUCAGUUGUUUCAGUACGAUUUCACCAAAACUAAACACUGAAGCUGAAUUUUCAACCUAUGCUGUUCACAUGUUGGCCCCAUUGUACAAAGUUGCUGAAGGAUUUGCUGGGAAAGUCAUCAGUGAUGAAGUUAAGCAGUCAGCAGAGGUGACCAGGGACAAACUACGUGAUCUCAUUGGUGUUGAGAAAUUUGUGGAAAUUUACAACAGUGUCCGGAAGGACCUGAAAGCAAAGAGGGAGAGCAGAAAGCAGGCUGAGAAGCUUGUUGCAGCGGUCGACCCAGCGCGGCACGCCAAGAGGAAGUUGCGUAUGUCUGCCAAGCACCGAGAACACAAGAAGCGGAAGAUAACAGCGAUGAAGAUGGGAAGGUGGUUGAGGUAGUUUUUGUUGGUGCUAGAUGAAGAUCAAACAAGUUACUUCUGCCAGCGAUGAAGAUCAAGCAGAAGCAAGUUGUACAGCGUUCACUUCUGCGUGGCAAUGUGUUCUGCUGUUGGACUUCGAAAAUUUGUGCUAGAUGGCUGGCAGAAAAUUUUGUAUGCUUGAUGUAUACAUGCAUAUAUCAAUCAAGUUACGCCUAUACCAUUGCAGUUUUGUUGACGACCUGUAGAAUCCACUGAAUGAAUAUUGAUGAAACUUUCAUUACAAGUUUUACUGAACUGAAUCUGAAUGCGCAACAUGGUGAAGCUACUUCUGGGCUUUGGUUGAGGGAGGCGUGUCAGAAAUCCAAUUCGGCUAUAUGCUCCUGUUAAUCAAAAAUGCUUUUGCAUUUUUUUGAAGAAAGAGCACUAUCUUCAAAUAUUUAUGGGAGAGCUUAACAUUUUGACCUGUUACCUCAAGUAUUACAAUUUAUCUUGAUUUUCA
rnacentral:rRNA from 1 species